CGUAACACGUAUGCAACCUACCUUUAACCGGGACAUAACCUCGAGAAAUUGAAGCUAAUAUCCCAUGUGAUUAUUUGAAGGCAUCUUCGGAUAAUUAAAAUUCAGAUGGUUAAAGAUGGGCAUGCGUCCCAUUAGCUAGUUGGUGAGGUAACGGCUCACCAAGGCCACGAUGGGUAGGGGUUCUGAGAGGAUGAUCCCCCACACUGGUACUGAGACACGGACCAG
rnacentral:rRNA from 1 species